AAUCACUCCAGUAAACUAGUCUUUAUUAACUGUUUGUUCUCCACCCAUUCUUAGAGCAGGUUUCCUGAAAGAAGUGUGUGUUAGACUGGAAAGGUGAUAAGUGAGUGGGCAGUAGAGUGUGUAGUGUGGCCCACAUCUCACCAUGGCCAGGUCAAGGUGAAUGAAACAUGCCAGUUAGGUGAAGGUCUUUCUCCCGUGGGUCAGUGAACUCUGACCUGGAGAACAUGGUUCCUUAGUCACAACAGCCAUGCCACUAUAG
rnacentral:lncRNA from 1 species